AUUGAACGCUGGCGGUAGGCCUAACACAUGCAAGUCGAACGGCAGCACAGUACGUGCUUGCGCUUACGGGGGCCGAGUGGCGGACGGUUCCUGAAAACAUCGGAGUCUACUUUUUCGUACGGGCUAACGUAGGGACACUUACGCUAUUCCCGCAUACGACCUACGUGGGAAAGCAUCGGACCUUCCGCCCUUGCGCGAUCCUAUGACCCGAGGGCGGAUUAGGUAGGUGGCGGGCUAAAGGGCCACCAAGGCGACGAUGCGUAGCUGGUCUGAGAGGAUGAGCAGGCACAGUGGAAGUGAGAAAAGGUCCAGAGGCCGACGGGAGGCAGCAGGGGGGAAUAUGGGACAAUGGGCGAAAGCCGGAUCCAGCCAUGGCGCGUGUGUGAAGAAGGUCUUCGGAUUGUAAAGCACUUUAAGUUGGGAGGAAGGGCAGUAAGUUAAUACCUUGCUGUUUUGACGUUACCAACAGAAUAAGCACCGGCUAACUUCGUG
rnacentral:rRNA from 1 species